rnacentral:tRNA from 1 species
GGGGUUGUAGCUCAGUGGUAGAGCUCUUGCCUUGCAUGCAUGAGGCCCUGGGUUCGGUCCCCAGCACCACA